rnacentral:rRNA from 1 species
AGAGUUUGAUCCUGGCUCAGAAUGAACGUUGGCGGCGUGGAUUAGGCAUGCAAGUCGCGCGGACCAGCAAUGGUUAGCGGCGAAAGGGAGAGUAACGCGUGGGUUAUCUGCCUCUUGGACCGGGAUCUGCGGGAAACUGCAGGUAAUACCGGAUAACGUCUUUGGACCAAAGGUGUGAUUCCGCCGAGAGAUGAGCCCGCGUCCUAUUAGCUAGUUGGUGAGGUAAUGGCUCACCAAGGCUUAGAUGGGUAGGGGGUGUGAGAGCACGACCCCCCUCACUGGGACUGAGACACUGCCCAGACACCUACGGGUGGCUGCAGUCGAGGAUCUUCGGCAAUGGGCGAAAGCCUGACCGAGCGACGCCACGUGUGGGAUGAAGGCCUUCGGGUUGUAAACCACUGUCGUAGAGGAGGAAAUUCUGGGGGGUUCUCCCCUCGGUUUGACCUAUUCUAGGAGGAAGUCAGGGCUAAGUUCGUGCCAGCAGCCGCGGUAAGACGAACCUGACAAACGUUAUUCGGAAUUACUGGGCUUAAAGGGUGCGUAGGCGGCGCGACAAGUUGGGUGUGAAAUCCCUCGGCUCAACCGAGGAACUGCGCUCAAUACUGUCGUGCUCGAGGGAGACAGAGGUGAGCGGAACUUAGGGUGGAGCGGUGAAAUGCGUUGAUAUCCUAAGGAACACCGGUAGCGAA